rnacentral:misc_RNA from 1 species
GUGAAGAACGCAGCGAAAUGCGAUAAGUAAUGUGAAUUGCAGAAUUCAGUGAAUCAUCGAAUCUUUGAACGCACAUUGCGCCCCUUGGUAUUCCGAGGGGCAUGCCUGUUCGAGCGUCAUUAUAACCCCUCAAGCUCAGCUUGGUGUUGGGGCCUGCCGCACGGGCAGCCCUUAAAAUCAGUGGCGGUGCCAUCUGGCUCUAAGCGUAGUAAUUCUUCUCGCUAUAGAGUCCCGGUGGAUGCUUGCCAUUAACCCCCAAUUUUCUAUGGUUGACCUCGGAUCAGGUAGGGAUACCCGCUGAACUUAAGCAUAUCAAUAAGCGGAGGA